rfam:Ornithorhynchus anatinus chromosome X1, whole genome shotgun sequence.
AGCAGUGUGGCUCAGUGGAAAGAGCCCCGGCUUGGGAGUCAGAAGUCCUGGGUUCUAAUCCCGGCUCUGCCA